AGAGUUUGAUCAUGGCUCAGGACGAACGCUGGCGGCACGCUUAACACAUGCAAGUCGAACGAGAGAAGAGGAGCUUGCUUUUCUGAUCUAGUGGCGGACGGGUGAGUAACACGUGAGCAAUCUGCCUUUCAGAGGGGGAUACCGAUUGGAAACGAUCGUUAAUACCGCAUAACAUAAUUGAACCGCAUGAUUUGAUUAUCAAAGAUUUAUCGCUGAAAGAUGAGCUCGCGUCUGAUUAGCUAGUUGGUAAGGUAACGGCUUACCAAGGCGACGAUCAGUAGCCGGACUGAGAGGUUGAUCGGCCACAUUGGGACUGAGACACGGCCCAGACUCCUACGGGAGGCAGCAGUGGGGAAUAUUGCACAAUGGAGGAAACUCUGAUGCAGCGAUGCCGCGUGAGGGAAGAAGGUUUUAGGAUUGUAAACCUCUGUCUUCAGGGACGAAAAAAGACGGUACCUGAGGAGGAAGCUCCGGCUAACUACGUGCCAGCAGCCGCGGUAAUACGUAGGGAGCGAGCGUUGUCCGGAAUUACUGGGUGUAAAGGGAGCGUAGGCGGGAUCGCAAGUCAGAUGUGAAAACUAUGGGCUUAACCCAUAAACUGCAUUUGAAACUGUGGUUCUUGAGUGAAGUAGAGGUAAGCGGAAUUCCUAGUGUAGCGGUGAAAUGCGUAGAUAUUAGGAGGAACAUCAGUGGCGAAGGCGGCUUACUGGGCUUUAACUGACGCUGAGGCUCGAAAGCGUGGGGAGCAAACAGGAUUAGAUACCCUGGUAGUCCACGCCGUAAACGAUGAUUACUAGGUGUGGGGGGACUGACCCCUUCCGUGCCGCAGCAAACGCAAUAAGCAAUCCACCUGGGGAGUACGACCGCAAGGUUGAAACUCAAAGGAAUUGACGGGGGCCCGCACAAGCAGUGGAGUAUGUGGAUUAAUUCGAAGCAACGCGAAGAACCUUACCAGGUCUUGACAUCGUAUGCAUAGCUCAGAGAUGAGUGAAAUCUCUUCGGAGACAUAUAGACAGGUGGUGCAUGGUUGUCGUCAGCUCGUGUCGUGAGAUGUUGGGUUAAGUCCCGCAACGAGCGCAACCCUUACUGUUAGUUGCUACGCAAGAGCACUCUAGCAGGACUGCCGUUGACAAAACGGAGGAAGGUGGGGAUGACGUCAAAUCAUCAUGCCCCUUAUGACCUGGGCCUCACACGUACUACAAUGGCUGUCAACAGAGGGAAGCAAAGCCGCGAGGUGGAGCGAACCCCUAAAAGCAGUCUUAGUUCGGAUUGUAGGCUGCAACCCGCCUACAUGAAGUCGGAAUUGCUAGUAAUCGCAGAUCAGCAUGCUGCGGUGAAUACGUUCCCGGGCCUUGUACACACCGCCCGUCACGCCAUGGGAGUCGGUAACACCCGAAGCCUGUAGUCUAACCGCAAGGAGGACGCAGUCGAAGGUGGGAUUGAUGACUGGGGUGAAGUCGUAACAAGGUA
rnacentral:rRNA from 1 species